CUAAAGUGGUCAUUAUGACAAGAUGAUUAGUCACUUGACAGUGUCUUGGUAGUCAAACCGUGUAUGGACCAUCUAUAUCGUCAGUCUGGCUGUGUAGCACAUCAUCGAUAUUAAAUUAUUCGGCAAGAAAAAUAGCGUCAUGCAGCAGCCAUAUUUCCAGGGAACGACAGGCGAUGAGAGUCAAUACCUGGUCUGGUGAAAAUAGAACAUGCAUGUCCAAGGAUUCAAAUUAAAUUGGGCAAUGUGAAAUUUUACUGUUGAAUUUGUUCAUGUCCAUUUUUGUUUGACAAUAAAUUAAAAUGUUGGCCAAGU